rnacentral:rRNA from 1 species
GGAGGGGUGCUAGCGUUGUUCGGAAUUACUGGGCGUAAAGAGCGUGUAGGGCGGCCUUUCAAGUCUGGGUGUGAAAGCCCGGGGGCUCAACCCCGGAAGAGCAUUGGAUACUGUUUGGCUAGAGUACUGGAGAGGAGGGUGGAAUUCCUGGUGUAGCGGUGAAAUGCGUAGAUAUCAGGAGGAACACCAGUGGCGAAGGCGGCCCUCUGGACGGAUACUGACGCUGAGACGCGAAAGCGUGGGGAGCAAACAGGAUUAGAUACCCUGGUAGUCCACGCCGUAAACGAUGGGCACUAGGCGUUCGGGGUAUUGACCCCUCGAGUGCCGCAGCUAACGCAUUAAGUGCCCCGCCUGGGGACUACGGCCGCAAGGCUA